CAUUGGUGGGGUUUCGCCGUCUUCGUUUCUCUUUCUUCGCGGACGAACACGCGCUGGGGCUGCAAGCUUUGCAGGAUCCCUGGUCCUUAACAGGAUAUGCGUUAGGGGCUUGUAGCUCAGUUGGUUAGAGCGCGCGCUUGAUAAGCGUGAGGUCGGAAGUUCAAGUCUUCCCAGGCCCACCACUUUCAUCGAGUGAGCAUUCGUCUUCUGGUUACGGGGCCAUAGCUCAGCUGGGAGAGCGCGUGCUUUGCAAGCAUGAGGUCGUCGGUUCGAUCCCGUCUGGCUCCACCAGAUGGUUUGAUCACCGAGAUCUUGUACCGUCGUCCGCGAAACAUCACUUCGCACCCACUAGUCCGGAUGGACAGUGACGUGCGUGAUUUCUGACAUCGUAAAGAGGAGAUCGAUCCGAGUUGGAUCGUGCAGCAAGCAAUUGCUACGCGAUACUUCAUUAUCUCCGGAUCAUUUCGGCGCUCGUGCGUCUUUCAAAGGUAGCUCACAAGGCUGCGCUUGAGAGACAAGCGAGUUGUAAAUGAUCCUUUUAGCGAAGCUUGACCGCCUCGCUAUCGGAACGAUCUUACGAAGCAAGCUGGUCUUUCUAGUCAAUGUCCGGCUGUACGUAGCAUUCAUCGAGGGUGCGCGCCGCAAGGCAAUCGUACAGACAACAUUCUGCCGAGUGUGUGGACAUUGAUAAUGAGAGCAAUCAAGUGCCUUAAUGGUGUUCGGUGGAUGCCUUGCGCUGAGAGGCGAUGAAUGACGUGCUACGCUGCGAUAAGCCGUGGGGAGCUGCGAAGAAGCUUUGAUCCGCGGAUUU
rnacentral:misc_RNA from 1 species